ensembl:lncRNA
UUACAUGGUUGCAGGUGUUAUUACAGGGUACAGUGUUUAAUAGUCAGAUGUACAGGGUUACAGGUGUUAUUACAGUGUUUAAUAGUCACAUGUACAGGGUUACAGGUGUUAUUACAGGGUACAGUGUUUAAUAGUCACAUGUACAGGGUUGCAGGUGUUAUUACAGUGUUUAAUAGUCACAUGUACAGGGUUGCAGGUGUUAUUAGUGUUUAAUAGUCACAUGUACAUGGUUGCAGGUGUUAUUACAGGGUACAGUGUUU